rnacentral:lncRNA from 1 species
UGAUUUUGAGUAUCAAGUUUCUCUGACUGGAUGUUCAGUCCGUCACUGGCUUGUCGAAAAGUAUUGGGAAAUUUCUUCCGUGGAUUCCAACAGCAGGUUCUUACGAAAAUAUUUUUUUAGCUGUCAAGCUUUUCAGCAGAUUCGUUUGGCCAAGUUUCAAGGCGCACGGUUGGAUUUCUGCAACAGGGAGAGAUCCAUAUACAUACAUUCAGUAUCGUACAGGGACAGGGUUAGAACCGGUGUGAAUCUCACGAUCAACCAACCUCCUUUGCUUGGAACUAUUACGUGAUCAAUUUUGAGCACAUGAACUUGUUCAAGAUCAGUAACUCCUCUGUAUUGGAGUUGCAGCAGAUGUACAAGAGUCAAUUGAAUUAUGCCUGAAACAUUCAUGCUGAGAAACAUUCGUGGCCAAAGAACAAACAAAUCAUGUCAAUUGUAGAUGAGAAAGUCAAUUUGGAAAGUUGUGAAGACAGCGAGAAAUGCAUUACGAGAUUUAUUCUGAGUGAGCAUAAUGAAGAAGAAAUAUCCCAGGCGAGAAGCAAGAAUAUAUUUUUGGAAGGAAAGAGUCAGAAAGAACGCAUCCAAACACUAGAUGAGUCGUGGUUUCAUGAGCAGAGAAACCUCCUCUGGCCGAGUCCGACUCUCAUGUCUUAAAAGACCUCCGGUUUGCUUUCUUUUCGCCGCAAGUUUCGGGAAUUCCUAGUGAAUAAAAAUCAUUGCCAAGAGAUUUCACGUGCACAUCCGAUUAUCCGCGCAAUUCUGCUACAGCCAAGUGUACAUUUCUGGGACACACCACCUCUGAUAAUGAGGAUGGUCAUUGCGCUACACUGCCGAGCCCAAGAUAACAGCAAAUUUGACUACAGCUUGUCCCUAUGAUCUUUCAACAAUUGUGCACUAAGUAGCUCUUCACGGCAUUUCAAUGCCUACGCACAAGUCUUGAAUGCAGUAAACAGUUUUGACCUGAAAGCUUGCGAUACAGUCUCUGUUGAAGACUAUGCAUUCAAAUAUACGCAUGAGAGUAGCGAAAAAAGUGUAAGUGCUCACCCCUUUUCCAAUUACGGGCUGCAAAUUCUCGGUGUGGAGCCUCGUGUCCACAUGUGAGCAGAGAUCUUAUUAUAACCGCAUUGGAUCCACGAUCAGGAUUGAAAUCGAAAGGCGUAGGGAUCUAAGGCGCUGUGUAACUUUUUCUCAAUCGAUCUAAAGCAUCGGGUAAACACCGUUUUGUGUCAAAAUAUAUGUCUAUGUAAAUGUGCGAAUAAAGAGU